rnacentral:rRNA from 1 species
UGGGGAAUAUUGGGCAAUGGGCGCAAGCCUGACCCAGCAACGCCGCGUGAGGGAAGAAGGUCUUCGGAUUGUAAACCUCUGUCCUUGGGGACGAAAAAAAUGACGGUACCCAAGGAGGAAGCUCCGGCUAACUACGUGCCAGCAGCCGCGGUAAUACGUAGGGAGCGAGCGUUGUCCGGAAUUACUGGGCGUAAAGGGUGCGUAGGUGGCUUGGCAAGUCAGCUGUGAAAUCCCCGGGCUUAACGCGGGAUCUGCAUUUGAAACUGCUGAGCUUGAGUGCAGGAGAGGAAAGCGGAAUUCCUAGUGUAGCGGUGAAAUGCGUAGAUAUUAGGAGGAACACCAGUGGCGAAGGCGGCUUUCUGGACUGUAACUGACACUGAGGCACGAAAGCGUGGGGAGCAAACA